UGGGGAAUCUUGCGCAAUGGGCGAAAGCCUGACGCAGCAACGCCGCGUGCGGGAUGACGGCCUUCGGGUUGUAAACCGCUUUCAGCAGGGACGAAUUUUGACGGUACCUGCAGAAGAAGCCCCGGCCAACUACGUGCCAGCAGCCGCGGUAACACGUAGGGGGCAAGCGUUGUCCGGAUUUAUUGGGCGUAAAGAGCUCGUAGGCGGCUCGGUAAGUCAACUGUGAAAGCUCCGGGCUCAACUCGGAGAGGCCAGUUGAUACUGCUGUGGCUAGAGUCCGGUAGGGGAGCGUGGAAUUCCUGGUGUAGCGGUGAAAUGCGCAGAUAUCAGGAGGAACACCAGCGGCGAAGGCGGCGCUCUGGGCCGGAACUGACGCUGAGGAGCGAAAGCGUGGGUAGCAAACAGGAUUAGAUACCCCCGUAGUCC
rnacentral:rRNA from 1 species